UUGAAGAAGAAAAAGGAGGAUUUCUGGAGAUGGAAGAGGUGCAGGGACAUGGCCAAGGGCCCAGCUGGCCAGGUGAGAGGCCUGCAAGGUAGGGGAGCCAGAUGCCCAGGCCCUGAUGGAGGCCGGAAGUGCCAUCUUGAGCAGCAUAGGUCUGGCCUCCCACACUCAGGACGGGAAGGCCUGUUGGAAAACUCUUUCUUCUACCUUCUGUGACCCUGGGACUUCUCCAUACCUCCUGCUCAGCCUAGGCCUGUCUCCAGAGGGUUGAACCUGUGUUCAUGGGUGAGAUGUGGAUGGCUGCUGACCUGGGCCUGCAUCUCCUUCAGGAGACUUGGGGUAUGGGGGCCACAGAGGCUAUGUGGACAGUGGGUAAGGCCUGGCAGGGGACCAGGGGUGCAGGGUGGUGACCCAGGAGCUUUGAGAUCACCAGCAUUCAGAACAGGCAGCCUUGGGAGGCAGGGAUAAAGAGCAUGGGCUCAGAGAAAGAGACACCAGCUCUGCCACCUGCCCCUUGUGUGACCCUGGGCCAGUGACUUGACCUCUCUGAGCCUUGUUUGCCGAAUUGUAGAGAAUCCCAUCUUUCACCAAAUGAAUUGACUGUAGGAGAAACACCAAACAAGUAUCUCAAUAGAUGCUAAGGAGGUAUUUAAUAAAAUCCAACAUCCAUUCCUAAUUUUAGAAAAA
rnacentral:lncRNA from 12 species